AGACGAUUUAACAUUAACAUUGACGUUCCAACCAGAUUUUACACUGUGUAUCUGUAUGUUGUCAGUGUAUCUGCGUGUGUCAGUGUGUGCAUCUGUGUGUCUGCAUGUGUGCCAGGUUGUGUGUCUGUAUGUGUUUGUAAAUGUGUCUAUAGCUGCAUCUGUAUGAUUGUGUAUAUCGGUGUUUCUGUGUGUAUGUGUAUCACAGUGUCUGUGUGUGUGUGUGUUUGUGACAGUGCAUGUGUAUUUGUGCAUACAUCUCAGCAUUCAACACUACACACAAAUACACACCUGCAUUCAAACUUCAACACUACAUAUAAACACACCUCUUUUUUUAAACAACAAAAUUAUAUAUAAACACACCAGUGUAUUCAUAAAC